rnacentral:lncRNA from 1 species
CGCCCCACACCGGAACCCACUCACACCAGCGCCGCCACCGACGUCGGACAAGCAAGAGAGAUACAAACGGAUAAGCACUCUCUCGCUCCCUCGACUCCGGACUCAAGGAUCACCUCUUCGCUCCGCCUACGAAGGGCAAAAGAUUACCCCGUGGUAUCAGUAGGGUAAAACACUUGAGCACCGCAACGGAUUAUCAAAGAUCAAAGGAAGAAGAAGGAAGAAAAUAGCAAAGCAAACACAAAGAUGUAACGAGGUUCGGCUACAAAUAGCCUACGUCCUCCACCGCUCCAAAUCUCAAUAAGGAUGAACUGAUUACAGAGAUAGCACACACCCGAACGAUCACAA